UACGAAGGGGGCGAGCGUUGUUCGGAAUUAUUGGGCGUAAAGGGCGCGUAGGCGGUGCGGUAAGUCUGAUGUGAAAUCUCCGGGCUCAACUCGGAGUCUGCAUCAGAAACUGCCGUGCUCGAGUGUGGGAGAGGUGAGUGGAAUUCCGGGUGUAGCGGUGGAAUGCGUAGAGAUCCGGAAGAACACCGGUGGCGAAGGCGGCCUGCUGGGCAGUAGCUGACGCUGAGGCGCGACAGCGUGGGGAGCAAACAGG
rnacentral:rRNA from 1 species